rnacentral:rRNA from 1 species
AUUGACGGUGCUUGCACCUGAUUGACGUUGGAUUACCAACGAGUGGCGGACGGGUGAGUAACACGUAGGCAACCUGCCCAGAAGCGGGGGACAACAUUUGGAAACAAGUGCUAAUACCGCAUAAAUCCUCAAACCGCAUGGUUUGAGGCUGAAAGAUGGUUUCGGCUAUCACUUCUGGAUGGGCCUGCGGCGCAUUAGCUUGUUGGUGGGGUAACGGCCUACCAAGGCUAUGAUGCGUAGCCGAGUUGAGAGACUGAUCGGCCACAAUGGAACUGAGACACGGUCCAUACUCCUACGGGAGGCAGCAGUAGGGAAUCUUCCACAAUGGGCGCAAGCCUGAUGGAGCAACACCGCGUGAGUGAAGAAGGGUUUCGGCUCGUAAAGCUCUGUUGUUGAAGAAGAACGUGCGUGAGAGUAACUGUUCACGCACUGACGGUAUUCAACCAGAAAGUCACGGCUAACUACGUGCCAGCAGCCGCGGUAAUACGUAGGUGGCAAGCGUUAUCCGGAUUUAUUGGGCGUAAAGCGAGCGCAGGCGGUUUGCUAAGUCUGAUGUGAAAGCCUUCGGCUUAACCGGAGAAGUGCAUCGGAAACUGGCUCACUUGAGUGCAGAAGAGGACAGUGGAACUCCAUGUGUAGCGGUGGAAUGCGUAGAUAUAUGGAAGAACACCAGUGGCGAAGGCGGCUGUCUGGUCUGCAACUGACGCUGAGGCUCGAAAGCAUGGGUAGCGAACAGGAUUAGAUACCCUGGUAGUC